GUAUGAAUGAUGUUAUUAUUAAGUCGGAUACCCCUUCACUCAUUGUGAGUGACACUCUGAAUCUGACAUAA